rnacentral:rRNA from 1 species
UACAGAGGGGGCAAGCGUUAUUCGGAAUUAUUGGGCGUAAAGGGCGCGUAGGCGGUCUCUCAAGUGGAUGGUGAAAUCCCCGGGCUUAACCUGGGAACUGCCGUCCAAACUGAGCGACUUGAGUCCGGGAGAGGUAAGUGGAAUUCCCAGUGUAGCGGUGAAAUGCUUAGAUAUGACAUAGAACACCAAUUGCGUAGGCAGCUUACUACACGAUCAUUGACGCUGAGGCACGAAAGCGUGGGGAGCAAACAGG